rnacentral:rRNA from 1 species
UGAGCAAUCUGCCCUUCUCUUCGGAAUAAGCGUGGGAAACCGCGUCUAAUGCCGAAUACGACCUCCUUUCGCAUGAUCGGAGGUGGAAAGCUCCGGCGGAGAAGGAUGAGCUCGCGGCCUAUCAGCUAGUUGGUGUGGGUAACGGCCCACCAAGGCGACGACGGGUAGCCGGCCUGGAGAGGGUGACCGGCCACACUGGGACUGAGACACGGCCCAGACUCCUACGGGGAGCAGCAGG